AUUGAACGCUGGCGGCAUGCUUUACACAUGCAAGUCGAGCGGCAGCACGGGGGCAACCCUGGUGGCGAGUGGCGAACGGGUGAGUAAUGCAUCGGAACGUGUCCUUAAGUGGGGGAUAACGCAUCGAAAGAUGCGCUAAUACCGCAUAAUCUCUAAGGAGAAAAGCAGGGGAUCGCAAGACCUUGCGCUUUUGGAGCGGCCGAUGUCUGAUUAGCUAGUUGGUGAGGUAAAGGCUUACCAAGGCUUCGAUCAGUAGCUGGUCUGAGAGGACGACCAGCCACACUGGGACUGAGACACGGCCCAGACUCCUACGGGAGGCAGCAGUGGGG
rnacentral:rRNA from 1 species